AUGGAGUACAGUAAGUCCUCACAAUGUCAUCAAUAGGUUCUUGGAAACUGCAACUUUAAGCAAAACAACAUAUAGCAGGCCUUCAAAUAAUGUCAUAUCCUUCAUAAUUUCAUUAUAAAUUUGAUGAUAAAAUACAAUUGGUUUCAUUAUAUGCCAUUUUCCUUAAACGGAGAGAGUCAUCACUUAUGGGGAAGAGUUUGAAAAUGGAGAGAAGCUGGUCAAGGGACACAAAAUUUAAGUUAGGAGGAAUGAGUUAAAGAGAGCUAUUGUACAACAUAAUGACUAUAGUUAAGAACAACAUGCUGUAUACUUGAAAAUUGCUAAGAGAAUAGAUUUUAAGUGUUCUCAACAUGAAAAACUGGUAUGUGAGGUAAUGCAUAUUUUAAUUAGCUUGAUUUAGCUAUUCCACAGUGUUUACAUAUAUCAAAAUGUGUUGUAUAUCAUAAAUAUAUACAAUUUCAAUUUAUCAAUUAAAAAAGUAAAUGUUUAAAAAAGAAAUAUAUGAGAAAUAUACUUAAAACAGUCACUAUUGUAGGACAGCAGAAUAGUAAUAUAUUAUUAAUUUUAAACUCUGCAUUGGGGUUUAAAAAUUAUGCCCAUGGAGCCCUGAUUAAAUUUAUGUAUGUAUUUAUUUAUUUAUUUAUUUAUUUUUGAGACAGUGUUUCACUCUGUCACUGAGGCUGUAGUGCAGUGGUGCAAUCUUGGCUCAUUGCAGCCUCAAGCUCCUGGACUCAAGCAAUCUUCCCACCUCAGCCUCCAAAUAGCUGGGACUACAGGCAUGCACCACUAUGCCUGGCUAAUUUUUUUUGUAAGGACAGGGUGUCACUAUGUUACCCAGACUGAUAUCGAACUCCUGAGCUUGAGCAAUCCUCCCACCUUAGCCUCCCAAAGUGCUGGGAUUACAAGUGUGAGCCACUGUGCCUGGCUUAUUUAUCUUUUUACACUAUACUUAUAACUGUGUCUACUUUGGGUAUAAUUUAUUUUCAUAGAGAUUUAAGAUAAAUUCCUGGAACAAAUGGUUUAUGUGAAGUUUUAACAAAUCUUUAUUCCAAUCCUAUUUAACAUCAUAUACUAUUAUCAGUAUUGAUGUCUUAUCUUGUACUUCUAAAAAGCAUAUGCCAAAAAAUUCUGUAACAAACUUUUCACUGAAUAUGCUUUCAUAGACUUAUUAAUUACCUCUACCCCACCACUCAUUGCAAUCUAAUUAGUACCCAUAUAUUAGUUUUCCUAGCUAUUAUCCAUUUAUUAGGCAAUUUCUAACAAUAUUCUAAAAUGUAAACAAAAGGCAUAAAAGGUAGUUGAUAUAGUUUGCCUUUGUGUCCCCAACCAAAUCUCAUCUUGAAUUGUAAUCACUGGGUAUUGAGAGAGGAACCUGGUGGGAGGUGAUUGGAUCAUGGUGGCAGUUUUCCCUAUGCUGUUCUAGUGGUAGUGAGUUCUCAUGAAAGCUGAUGGUUUUAUAAGGGUUUGACAGUUACUCCUUCACAUGCUCACACUCCGUGGCCUGCCGCCAUGUAAGAUGUGCCUGAUUCCCCUUCUACCAUGAUUUUAAGUCUCCUGAGCCCUCCCCAGCCAUAUGGAACUGUGAGUCAAUUAAACCUCUUUUCUUUAUAAAUUACCCAGUCUCAGUAUUCUUUAUAGCAAUGUGAAAACAGACCAAUACAGUAGUCAAUCAAAUCUUAUAAAAGAUUUGUAAAGAGUCCUAAACUUCCUUUUAAAAACAGUAUGUUAAUAACCCUGUUUCAAAGCUUAUUAGUGAAGUGCGAAGAGCUUUGAUAUCAGGCAACAGAGUAUCAAGUGAAAUGGCUGAUCAUGUUCAGUUGGUUACAUUUAGUAAUAGUUUUGGAUAAACUGAGGAUAGGAUUUUCAAUAGAAACCCUGGGGCAAAAACAAACAAACUGAGAAGAAAGAGGAGAAGGAAGAGGUAAAGGAGAAAUGUUGGAUAAAGUUUUACUUUUAAAAAUGUUUCUCACAAAACCAAAUAUGAGUUGAAUACAUAAAACUGUACUCUGAGGUAUCUCUGUAGCUACAAUGACUUUUCCAUGGCUGUGUGAGAUACAGCAAAAUGGUGGUGUAAAUUUUAACAGUUGUGGACCAUCAAUAUCAUUCUAUGAUACCCCUUACAGAUUCUAAGGUAGCAAGAUUUAUUUCAAUUAAGUAACACUUAUUUGUUACAUUAGUUUUAGCUCAAAUGUAUAGGAUACAGCAUGUUAUAUUUUAAGUGCUAUGUAUGUAUGUAUGUAUGUAUGUAUGUAUGUAUGUGUUUUUCUGAGUCAGGGUCUCACUUGGUCAUCUAGGUUGGAGUGUAGUGGUGUGACCAUGGCACACUGUAGCCUGGACAUCCCAGGCUCAAGCAAUCCUCCCACAGUAGCCUCCUGAGUAAUUGGGACUAUAGGCACAUGCUACCAUGCCUGGCUAAUUUUUAAAUUUUUGGCAGGGGGUCUUGCUAUGUUACUCAGGUUGGUCUCAAACUCUUGGGCUGAAGCAAUCCUUCCACCUUGGCCUCCCAAAGUGCUGGGAUUACAGGCAUAAGCAAGCCACCACACCUGGCCUGGAAUAAUUUCUGUUUUAUUUUUUCCUCUCCCUCAAUCAAUAUAAACAUUGUAUCAGAGUCCAUGUACUAAGGGCCUUGAAAUAUAAUUUUACCAAUGUAAACAAACACAGAAAUCUUUCAAUUUGUUAUAUCCCUUGAUACAGUUUGGCUCUGUGUCUCCAACUAAAUCUCAUCUCAAAUUGUAAUCCACAUGUGUCAAGGGAGGAACCUGGUGGGAGGUGACUGGAUUAUGGGGAAGGUUUCACCUGUACUGUUCUUGUGAUAGAGAAUGAGUUCUCAUGAGAGCUGAUGGUUUUAAAGUGUGGCACUUCCCCUUUGUUCGCUCUCUUGCCUGCAGCCAUGUAAGAUGUACCUUGCUUCCCCUUUGCCUUUUGCCACGAUUGUAAGUUUCCUGAGGCCUCUCCAGCCUUGUGGAACUGUGAGUCAAUUACACCUCUUUUGUUUAUAAAUCACCCAGUCUCAGGCAGUUUCUUUAUAGCAGUGUGAAAACAGACUAAUAUAUCCCUAUUUUCUUGAAGGUAAAUCCUUUGUUAAGACUGUAACCAAUCAGAAAUGAAAGUGAAGACAUUACAACAGGCACUUCAGAAAUAAGAAGGAUUAUAAAGGACUAUUAUAAACAACUGUAUGCCAACAAAUUGGAUAACCUAGAGGAAAUGGAUAAGUUUCUAGAAUAAAACAGCCUACCAAAAUUGAAUCAGGAAGAAAUGGAAAGUCUGAACAGACCAAUAACAAAGAGAUUGAAGAAUUAAUUAGAAACCUUUAACAAAAAGCCCAGAACUAGACAGCUUCACAGCUGAAUUCUACCAAACAUUCAAAGAAUUAUUACCAAUAUUUAAACUCUUCCAAAAAACAGAGUGAAGGGGAAUACUUCCAAACAUUUUAUAAAGCCAGCAUCCCCUCGAUCCCUAAGCUAGACAGACACCAGAAGGAAAGAAAACUACAGGUCAAUUUCUCUGAUGAACACUGAUGCAAAAAUCCUCAAUAAAAUAUUAGCAAACUGAACCAAUCCAACAACAUAUCAAAAAGAUUAUACACCCAGACGAAGUGGGACUUAUCCCUGGCAUGCGAGGCUGAUUUAACACACACAAAUCAAUUGAUGUGAUACACCACAUUAACAGAAUAACAGUUAAAAACUAUGUGAUCAUC
rnacentral:lncRNA from 1 species